rfam:Trypanosoma cruzi strain CL Brener tcruzi_1047053506435, whole genome shotgun sequence.
GUCGGCAUACCCAAGUGGUUACGGGGUUUGACUUGAAAUCAAAUGCGAUCUCGCGCGCAGGUUCGAACCCUGCUGUCGACG